rnacentral:rRNA from 1 species
AUGCUGAAAUUUGGUGACCAAGGCAAGGAGAAGGUAUUCUGGCCGAAAGUUGGCAAGUGGAAUAUGCGGUCUAAGAAAAUGGUCGAUGGAGGAGCAGUUAACACCUGGACAUGCAUUAACUUCGCUUCAGACAUCAUGCGUGCUACUGCUGUGGCUUUUUGUGAUGAACUGGCUGUGAUGUGCCUAGUCUCUGGAAUGAACUUUAGGGGUGACCCUGUGCUCCCUGUAGUGAAUGCUAGACCUAAGUACGUAGAAUCAGCUCUCAAGAAACAUCAUAAACGUGUCAUGAAGAUACUCAGACCACAGGGAAAAGAACUUGAUCUGCUGAUUGUAAUACUGCCCGGCAACAAUGGCCCUCUUUAUGGUGAUAUCAAAAGAAUAUGUGAGACGGAUAUUGUGCUGGUCUCUCAAUGUUGUCUUGCAAAGCAUGUUUUACCGAUGAAACCACGGUAUCUUGCAAAUAUUGCCCUUAAAAUUAAUGCUAAGGUAGGGGGGAAGAAAUACUGUACUUGUUGA